GGGGCCCUCACUGUGUGGGGUUAGGUGAGGGGUGUUUCUCUGUGAUACCAGGCUAAUAAUACAGCCUUACAGUAAUAAUCCCUUCCAUUUCUUGAAAACUGCCCAGGGUUUUCUCCAGUGCUGCCAGGUGCUGCUCUGAUGAACCCAUCCCUCUCCUGCUCUUCCCCAGGAAUUGCAAAGCAAAAUUGGCUCAUCAGUCCCAAGUGGAAUCUGAGUAGCUGCGGUUAAGGAGAUGAUACAUGGCCCAGACUGGAUUCCAGCAGAUGCAAAGGAUGAGAGCCUCAAGCAGCUCAUUGUAGGAAAGAGGAUGCAGUUGUCGAAGUUCAACCAACCAAUAAAUGACCAAAAUUUCCACUGCGUGACAAGGAACAAGUACCAGC